rnacentral:misc_RNA from 1 species
GCAAACUUGGUCAUUUAGAGGAAGUACAAGUCGUAACAAGGUUUCCGUAGGUGAACCUGCGGAAGGAUCAUUAUUGAAUAAACCUGGUGGGUUGUCGCUGGCUCUUCGGAGCAUGUGCACGCCUGCCAUCUUUAUCCAUCCACCUGUGCACUCUUUGUGGUCUUAGGAGUUGAACGAAGCAAUCCCUCGAUACACCUUCAUAUCGGAUAUGAGAAAUGCCUUGCGCGUUGAGCUUGGCUUUCCUCAGCAGCCUUGUCCACUCUUUUGACUAUGUUUUUUAAUACACCAAGUAGCAUGUUACAGAAUGUAUCACAUGGGCCUCCGUGCCUAUAAUUAUCUAUACAACUUUCAGCAACGGAUCUCUUGGCUCUCGCAUCGAUGAAGAACGCAGC